rnacentral:misc_RNA from 1 species
CGCCAUUUUGUUUGCACAGUGUUUCGAGCUUUUACUAAGAAUUUUCAGGUGUUUAACCAUAGCAAUAAUAGUGGAAAUUGACGGCACGUUCAGCGAUCACUAAAUUAGUGAUAAUUGUGUCAGAUUGUAUAGUUUAAACUGCCAGCUUCAAUCUUCUGGCUGGGCUUCGCGAUUGGUUUUCUGUGCUUGAAGCCUGAACAGCACUUUAUAUUAUUGUGUGCAAUUUGUAAUUUUUUUGAGGAAGUCGUGUUGUGUGUCACAAUAUGGCCGACGACGAUCUCAAAAGGUUAAGAGCGGCCAGGGGACAAUCAAAGGCGGCCAUUACGAGGAUGAUGGCCUUUAAGGCGACAGCGGAGGCUGCUUCUAGCAGCGAUGCGGACCCUCUGCUAUACCAGCAGAAGAAUGAUAGGCUUGAAAAGACUUUUCAAGAAUAUAAGGAACUCAACCUUGAAAUUUCAUUGUUGGACCCUGCGGAUUCCGAACGUGUUGAGGACUUCGAGGAGAAAUAUGAUCUGCUCAAAUCGUUCUAUGCGGGUGUAGUAAACAAGGCAUUGGACGCCUCUACGUCGAGCGUCUCACCGCAACCAUCCUUUUCGUCUCCUGGAGGCUGUAAUGCCUCGCCAUUUAGGCUGCCUCCAAUAAAUCUAAAAGUGUUCGCGGGAGAGAGCAACGGGCUGCUGCCUUGGAGUCCCUGGGAGAGCGGACGCCUUCAGGGCGCCGGUCUAGUUUAGUUGCAAGUAGUGUUAAAGUGGCCAAGCCGCUUAAGUCGGGUAUAAACAAAUGCGCUUUUGCCGGAGCAGCUGCCAGCCCUGCCUAGCAAGCUGAUCCUGCAGAAUACACGCUUUGGGUUUAUCGUUGCUGGAUUGGCUGGUGCUUCCGACACAGCCCCGGUAUCCAACUUAGUAUCAAAUUAUUGCUGUCAACAGCUAACACACAACAGUGACAUAGGUAAA